rnacentral:rRNA from 1 species
UAGGCUGCAACUCGCCUACAUGAAGUUGGAAUCGCUAGUAAUCGCGAAUCAGAAUGUCGCGGUGAAUACGUUCCCGGGUCUUGUACACACCGCCCGUCACACCACGAGAGUUUACAACACCCGAAGUCAGUGGCCUAACCGCAAGGAGGGAGCUGCCUAAGGUGGGGUAGAUGAUUGGGGUGAAGUCGUAACAAGGUAAC